CUUGAAACACGGACCAAGGAGUUCAGCGUGUACGCGAGUCAUUGGGUUGUUCAAACCCAAAGGCGAAAUGAAAGUGAAGGGAACUUUACGUUUCUGAGGGAUGAUGAGUCGGUUACCCGCAAGGGGCUGCUCCGCACUCCCGGGGCGUCUCUUUCUCAUUGCGAGUGGAGGCGCACCCAGAGCGUACACGCUGAUACCCGAAAGAUGGUGAACUAUGCCUGGCCAGGACGAAGCCAGGGGAAACCCUGGUGGAGGUCCGCAGCGAUUCUGACGUGCAAAUCGAUCGUCGGAGCUGGGUAUAGGGGCGAAAGACCAAUCGAACCAUCUAGUAGCUGGUUCCCUCCGAAGUUUCCCUCAGGAUA
rnacentral:rRNA from 1 species